rnacentral:sRNA from 1 species
GCCAGGCACAGUGGUGCAUGCCUGUAAUCCCAGCGGCUUGGGAGGCUAAGGCAGGAGGAUCACAAGUUCAAAGCCAGCCUUAGCAAUUUAUAGAGGCCCUAAGCAACUUAAUGAGACCCUGCCUCUA